AAUGAACGCUGGCGGCGCGCCUAAUACAUGCAAGUCGAGCGAGAAGACGUAGCAAUACGUUUGUAAAGCGGCGAACGAGUGAGGAAUACAUGGGUAACCUACCCUCGAGUGGGGAAUAACUAGCCGAAAGGUUAGCUAAUACCGCGUACGCUCCUUGGACUUCGGUUCAGGGAGGAAAGCGAUACCGUGGGUAUCGCGCUCUUGGUUGGGCUCAUGUCCUAUCAGCUUGUUGGGAGGUAC
rnacentral:rRNA from 1 species